rnacentral:misc_RNA from 1 species
GAUGAAGAACGUAGCGAAAUGCGAUAAGUAGUGUGAAUUGCAGAAUUCAGUGAAUCAUCGAAUCUUUGAACGCACAUUGCGCCCCUUGGUAUUCCAUGGGGCAUGCCUGUUCGAGCGUCAUUUGUACCUUCAAGCUUUGCUUGGUGUUGGGUGUUUGUCCAUUCUCUUGCAGAGGGACUCGCCUUAAAGUAAUUGGCAGCCAGUGUUUUGGUUUUGAAGCGCAGCACAAGUCGCGAUUCAAAGCUAUACGCCCGCUUCCACAAGCCUUCUUCACUUUUGACCUCGGAUCAGGUAGGGAUACCCGCUGAACUUAAGCAUAUCAAAAGCGGAGGA